GGAGGCGCAGCGGCCCGUUACGGCGGCCGGCGGUGUUGGCGGUGCGGGCCCGCGGCCAGCGUUCGCGGCAGGGCCUCCGCAGCCCGCUCCGGCCGCACGCACCUCCCGACUCGCCUCCUUUUGGGGUCCUGGGCCGCUGGAGCCGCGCUCGCGGCCUGCGGCGGCCGUGAGGCCCGCGCGCCCUCUGGCGGCCAGCGGCCUGGACGCGCGCUCUGGUCGCUCCACCGGUGGAGGGGCGCGGGGGGCGAAGACAUGGGGCCCCCGAGUCGGGACGCCUGGGCCCAGCGCCUGGCGGCCUUCCGGGCCAGCCCCUCUGCCUUUAUGGCAGGUCCUCAGGGCGAGGAUUUGGGACGCGACCUGCUGAGCGACCUGAGGAAUGACAAGCUGAGCGAGCAGACCAAGGUGUCCUUGCUGUCCCUCAGCUUGGAGUACUCAGCCCAGCUGUGGCCCGACGCCCAUUCGGCCGAGGCGGCCGCCACCUCCCUGUUGGACACGCUGGUGCUCCUUCCGCCUCGGCCCUCGGCCCUGCGGAGGCCCCUGCUCCUGGCGGCCACCGCAGCCCUGGCGGCAGGAGGUGCGCUGGGCCCGGCCUCAGGGGCCUCACUGCGGCUGCUGCCCCUGCUGCUCGGCCUGGCCUCAGGCCGCGACCGGGGCGGAAGCCUCUGGCCUGCCUUGGAGCAGGGUUCCUUGCAGGCCACGGCGUGCGAGUGCCUGCGUGAGCUGGAGAGCUGCCGGCCAGGGCUGCUGCGGGACGCGCUGGGGCUGCUGCGGGACGCGCUGGGCCGAGAGGGCCCCAUGCAGCCGCUCAGCCUGCUGCUGGCCCUUGCUCUGCGCCAUGCCCUGGCGCUGCCGCCGCCAGCUGCAACUAGGACCAGCCUGCAGGGCCUGCUCACCGCGCCGGCGGCUGCUGCGGGUAGCUGUCCCUGGAACUGGAUGCCAGCUGAGGACAGCGACUUCGCCCUGCAGUGCCAUGUGCCCAACUGGCCUCCAGUGGCCGCGGAGGGUGCGCAGGGCCUGGAGCUCAGGCCUGAGGAGUCCCGGGAGCUGAGGGCUACUGUGGCGCAACUCCUGGACACUUCCUACCUGCUCUCUCCUGUGGCCCAGGCCCAGCUGCUGUGGCUGCUGGGCCGGGCCCUGCGAGGCCUGCGGGGGCAGCUGCCAGCGCUCUUCAAGCCUCAGCUGGCACGGCUCCUGGGCGCAGCGCCACCCGUUCUGCUGCAUGCAGUCCUGGCGCUCAAGGCGGCCUUUGGUGAGGCCCUGUUCACGGCCCAGGAUGAGGCCCUGCUGCUCUGCCGCCUCACCCUGGCCGCCCAGCACCCAGCCCUGCCCUUGCCCACCCACCUCUUCUAUCUACAGUGCCUCCUGAACUUUCCUGAAAAUUGGCCGCUAGGUCCCGAGGGUGAGGAGGCGGCCCCACUACUGCUGGGACCCCGGAUGUGCCGUGGCCUGCUCCCCAGCCCACUGCAUGAGCCCAUGGCCCUCCUGGCCCGCCUGCACCUUCUGUGCUUGCUGUGUGCAGAAGACCAGGACGAGGAAGAAGAGGGGGGCCAGGCACAGAGCCUUCGAUGCUACCUGCAAGAGCUGCUGGCUGGCCUGCGGAGGAGGGCAGCCCUGGAGGGUGGUCCCAGGGCCACAGCCACACUUUGCUUCCAGGCGUCAUACCUGGCUACCUGCUGCCUGGCUGGGCAGCCCGCAGUACUGACACCCUUGGUCCAUGGUCUGGCCCAGCUGUAUCGAGCCCGGCCUGUGCUUGCACCCCACUUUGUGGACCUCCUGGACCAGGUGGGCCGGGAGCUGGGGGAGCCCCUGAAGGUGGCGCUGCGGCAGGAAGUGGUGUCGGCACCGGGCAGAGAUGCAGCGCUCGGCUGGCACCUGCAGAUGUUGGCAAAAGUGGUGGAUAGGGACUCCCAGGAUGCUACCCUGCGCUUCCUCUGGGCUGCAGGUGCCCACUGCCCGGACUGGCACCUGCAGCAGGCCCUGCUGAGGGUCUGCCGGGCUCUGCUAGGCACGGGCGGGGGUGGUGGCCUGGCCGAUUUGCUGCAGGCACUAGCCAGGCAGCUGGAUGACCCUGAUGGGCGCGACCACGCCCGCCUCUACUACAUCCUCCUCUCCCACCUGGCGGGACCCAAGCUGGGGGCAGCCCUGGGCCCUUCUCUUGCCACACCAGCAGCGGCGGGGGCGGCCACCUCUUCCCUGGUGGCUGAGAAUCAGGGCUUCGCUGCCACCUUGAUGGUUCAGGAGGCCGCAGCCCCCGUGCGACUGAGCGUGGGGCCGCGGGUGGCACAGGGGCAGCUCCCAGUGCUGCGGCUGCAGGUGGAGGCGCUGCAACCGGUGUACUCCUUGGAGCUGCGCUUCCGUGUGGAGGGGCAGCUCUACGGACCCCUGCAGGAGGUCCACGUGCCCUGCCUGCGCCCCAGCCGCCCCACCAGCCCGCUGCUCCUGCCCCUGCAGCCCAAGCGGCCGGCCCCCGCGCAGCUGGCCGUCCGCGCCAUGUACACCACACCCAGCGGCCUCACGUGCCAUGCCCGCCUGCCGCCCCUGCCCGUGACCUUUGCCGACCUCUUCCUGCCUUUCCCCCAGCCCCCAGUGGGGUCUGAGCAGGGCUUCUUCCAGGAGCUCUGGAAUGCCUGCCUGCCCAAGGGUGCCGAGAGCCGCGUGUGGUGUGCCCUGGGGCCGCAGGGACUGGACGCUGUGGUGUCCCGGCACCUGGAGCCCUUCGUGGUGGUGGCCCAGCCCCCCACCAGCUUCUGCGUGGCCAUCCGUCUGCCCCCAGACUCGUGCCUGUUGCUGCGGCUGGAGGCGCCGCGGUCAGACGGAGUACCUGUGGCCUUGCGCACCGACGACUGGGCCUUGCUGCCCCUGGCUGGGGAUUACAUACGUGGCCUGUCAGCUGCGGGCUGAGUGUCCUGCAGGCCCGUGUCUGGGUGGGGCUGUGGACUGGCCCCGGGGCUUUUUUCCCAUAAAGCAUGUUGCUUCAUAUGUCCUCAUAACAGCUCUGCCAUGGGUGAGGGAACCUGAGCUGGUAGCGCUGGCAUGCUCACCACCCGGGUGUGAGUGGCAACUUGGAACCCCAAGACGGGCCUCUGUGACCACAUUCCUGGUAGGGCCCAGCCCCAUAUAGCAAGUGACUGGCUUACAGUGACCCCUCCUGGAUGGGGUCGACAGGAGGAAGAACAGGACCCCAACACCUGUAGCUACCCCCGGGUCAAGUAACGGGGCAGUAACUUGCUCUCUCACUGGGCAGGCCAUGGUCAGGCUGGGUUAGACCAUCUUUGCUCCCACGCGAGGAGCUGGGUGGAAGGCUAAGGAAGUGCGCCCCCUGGAGGCGACCACGGGAGCUGCCAAGUGCCAGAAGGCGUGUUUCCUGGGGCAGUGAACCAGGGGCCUGGCCUCCUGCCUUGGAAGGCCCCUGGAUAGCAGGACCAACGUCUCAUGCAGUCUGCCAACAGACUGUCUGGGGAUGUGUUGGUUUUCUCUGCAUGCAGGUGCACGGGAUGUGGUGGUGACCCUGGGCACCCUCAUCAGUGCAGCCUGUGGCCCUCUGCCUCCCUCCCAGACCCCCUUCCCAUUCGUCCAUCACUCCUCCAGGCUGCACACCACACCAGCAUCAUGCCCGCGUCCCCUUGUAGGGCCACAUGACGGUGGCUCUGGGCUGUACACUGGGAGCAUAGGUGAAUGCUGGGGCUUGUGUGUGCUCUGCAACCUUCGAGGGAAGAGUCUGCCCUGCAUGAGAAGGUGUCACUCCAUUCUACGUGGCUGUAGUGGGAAGUCAGAGGUGUGAUAAUGUGUAAAUGACAGGCUUGUCCAGCUCACGGCCCCAGAGUCAGACUAGACCACGAGGGUGAGGCUGGGUCACUCAUCAGUAGGGAUAGGGGCCUUGCAGCGUCGUCAUGGCAGGCCAGUGGGCUCCGGCAGCUGCCCCACGUCCCCCUACCUACUCCAGCUGUCCACUGAGUCCCUCGCAUCAGUCCAUUCUCACAGGUCCUGUCUUCAGGUUCCGCCCCUGCAUGGUCGUGAACGUUGAUGCUCCUGGGGAAGAUGCACAGGCCAGGGGCAGUGCAGGGCCAGGGGGUCUCCUCCUCACCUGCCAGGGACAGUGCAAGGGCCAGGGGUCUCCUCCUCACAUGCCAGGGACAGUGCAGGGGCAGGGGGUCUCCUCCUCACAGGCCAGGGACAGU